CCUACGGGCGGCAGCAGUGAGGAAUAUUGGUCAAUGGGCGCGAGCCUGAACCAGCCAAGUAGCGUGAAGGAUGACUGCCCUACGGGUUGUAAGCUUCUUUUAUAAAGGAAUAAAGUGAGGCACGGGUGCCUUUUUGUAUGUACUUUAUGAAUAAAGAUAGGCUAAAUACGUGCCAGCCGCCGCGGUAAUACGGAGGAUCCGAGCGUUAUCCGGUUUUAUUGGGUUGAAAGGGAGCGGAGAUGGGUUGGUAAGUUAGUUGUGAAAGUUUGCGGCUUAACCGUAAAAUUGCAAUUGAUACUGGCAGUCUUGAGUACAGUUGAGGUAGGCGGAAUUCGUGGUGUAGCGGUGAAAUGCUUAGAUAUCACGAAGAACUCCGAUUGCGAAGGCAGCUUACUAAACUGCCACUGACAUUGAUGCUCGAAAGUGUGGGUAUCAAACAGGAUUAGAUACCCCUGUAGUC
rnacentral:rRNA from 1 species